UAAACUUAAGAGUUUGAUUCUGGCUCAGAAUGAACGCUGGCGGCAGGCCUCAUACAUGCAAGUCGAACGCCCCUUCGGGGGAGUGGCAGACGGGUGAGUAACACGUGGGAACCUACCCAGAGGUUCGGAAUAACUCAGGGAAACUUGAGCUAAUACCG
rnacentral:rRNA from 1 species